UUGCCCUGAUCCCACCACUCAGACCUGCCACAUCCAAGGGUCUUUGUAUUCUUCAGAAUGGGUCCCCCCUCCCGCCACCCUAGGGAGAUAGGGCAGGGCCAUUGGCACAGAGCAGUGGCCGCUCACAGGCUCUUCUUCAUCUGUUUCUCCUUCCAGAGAUCCGCUCCAGAUUCAUUGGCAUUUAGUCAAGGGAAAUGCGCCACGGAAGACGAAAGCAAAGACCAGCAAAGGGGCAAGUGCCUGUGGGAACACGGAUUGGGAGAAAAGAACAGAGGACAAGUUUCUCCACCCCCAUUGAGAUAAUUUCUUCCACUGGAAAGAUCAACCUGUUUCACUUUAACCCAGAAAUCUUACACAGCAAGGAGUGAUACAUGAUAUUCUGGCUGCCUUCCCAAAGCAGUGUCUGUUGCCCCAUCUAAGGUGUGACAAAUUAGCAGCUGCUUCGUGUACGGACACUAGCAACCAAGUACAUACCUGUGUGAUUUUCUCUGAGCACAGGUAGCCCAAAAUCUUUGUGAGUGCACAUACGGAGGUGGGAGGAGAGAAGAGAGAGGCUGCUGGUAAUGAGCACUAAUAGCAAUCAACCUGCAUGAGACAAAAUUCUGAGGAAGAAUCUUACUCUGCAGCUUAAGGGGAAAAAUGUAGUACAUCUGCCAUCAACCCUUUCAUAAACAAAGCAACCCACACCAACUCAGGAAUGGACUUGCAAGAACUCACCAGAUGAAGAUUCUGAAAUUAAUCUCUGACCGUCUUUUUGGAUCCUGAGACAACAGUCUACCUCUGCCCUGUCAUGGAUGGCUUCAGCACGUCCUGAGAGCAAUGCAUCUUAAAAUUAACUUUCUGGGCAUAUUUUUCCUCCAAGCAUGGGAAAGGUUUGCAGUUCCAGGCUAAGAAGUUCCAG
rnacentral:lncRNA from 1 species